CCCACGUUCGGAUUGCAGCCUGCAACUCGGCUGCAUGAAGCCGGAAUCGCUAGUAAUCGCGGAUCAGAACGCCGCGGUGAAUACGUUCCCGGGUCUUGUACACACCGCCCGUCACACCAUGGGAGUCGGGAACGCCCGAAGUCGGUGCCCCAACCGCAAGGAGGGAGCCGCCGAAGGCAGGCCCGGCGACUGGGGUGAAGUCGUAACAAGGUAUC
rnacentral:rRNA from 1 species